AGUUGUUUUUGUUUGAAAAAAAAAAAGGCAGAGCAAGGAACGAAUCCCAAAACUGAAAGACCAGGAGGAAAAUGGGAAAAAAAAUGAACGAAGUGAAAGUGUCAGCGGACCAAAAGCACACGACAAGAAGAUAAUCAUUCAUUAAAAAAAUCAAAACAUUUAUUUUCUUCUAAUCUUCUCUACAAACCAUCUGUUAUGUGGCUAUCAAGUUUCAAUCACUACUUUUUUCUAAACCUGGUGUUUAUGUUUUUCGUUUGGCCUUAUGUUCCCAAGGUUUUCGUCAAAAUAUUGAAGUUUUCUUCCCAACCGAAACCCCACCGCCUUCCCAAAACCAAUAUCACCAAAGCCUUCAACUUCUCCUCCUAGUCCAAAAAGGGUACCAGACCAGAUUCAUAACUGUCGCCGCCAUCAUCACCAAAGCGGAUAGGGAGAUCCGAGCAGUUGAGGUUUUUCUGGCCAUAUCAAUGAUAGAUCCAGCCUCGCUCUGUCAGAUCUAGUGAUUUGAAAUAGGGAAGCUCCACAAAAAUGAGAGAGAAGUAUACCAAAAUGGGGAGAUUGGAUUUUUCUCCUCGAAUCUGUUCGUGGAUUCGAUGCUUCUUCUACAUUUACUGAAAUCAAAGAUGUCGAUUUUCCAGAUAUUCUUGCAGAAAAAAUUGUGCUUAUUGCGGAUGAUUCUAGCCUCAAGAGGCAGCAGCUAACCACUUAUGCACGCAAUCUUGGGGUAAAGAUUGUGAAUGCCAUGAUUCAUGAACGCUAUCUAGCUUUUUAUGACCCCUUUGCUCUUGGACUGGUGUUUUUGUGAUUCUUGCUGCAGAACUACUUCCUGUUAGGUUCUACUUUUUGCAAUUACUCUACAAUUUGGUCAUUGGAUGUAUUAUUUCUUGUUCAUAUUUCUCCUAGGUUUGCACUUUUUUGUUGUUAUAGUAUACUAUAUGCUUCAUCAUGACUAGAAAUUUUUAUUGGGAAAUUGAUUUGACAAAAGGAUACAAAGAUUAUAGUGUUAUUUUCUGAAACAUCCAUUUUGGUAAAAGGAAGUUUGUUCUUAGUUCGGCAGUGAAAAAGGAUUGAGGGAUGGGAAGUUAAUGUUGAUUUCUUUUUUACGAGGAUUUUCAUUUUGUUCUAUAUUAGAUAGAGCUUGCAGUACGUUGUAGGGAUUCAGUCUAUCUUGUGGGUUUAAAUAGAAGCUUACAAGCCACAUCUGGGAAAUCAGUUGUGACCAAUCCACCAGUUGCUCUGAAAAUUAGCUCUGCUGACUGUCCACAGUAAGAGCAAGAAAUGCGGAAAUAAUUGAGCUUGACACAGGUAUCAAUGUAUGAAAUGGAUCUUGUACCCUUGUGCAGAUUUUGGAAGUCCAUUUUCGGGUCAGAUAAGUAGGGAAGGAUUCAAGCAAUCAAGGAAGCUUUCAACUCAGGAUUCCAUUCUAACUAAAAAUUUAAAAAGCAAAAUGGUGUCAAAAUGGGGAUGCCACUUGUUAGGAUCUUAGAGGUUGAAGUUCAUCCUACUUUUUUUUGUGCAUGACCUUUGUUUUAUAUUGCUUUCAAAGGUCAGAAGCUUUUACAUAAAAAUUAUAACAAGUUUGAUGUUAAAUUUCACUGCUCCUACUAAUGAAAUUUGCUUUUUGGAACCAAAAUUAUUAUCUAUAGGUUGUAUUUUUGUUUUUUUUGUCAUCAUUGAUGCAGGGUAGAGCUUUGCUAAACGUAGAUUGAUGAUUUAGAGCUUAGAAGAGAUUAUGCAGAAGCUUUGAAGUAGCUGGUAUACAAGUUAAAGGAUGUAGCUAAGGAGGAUCGAAUAAUGAUUAUUAAUAUGGUGGUAAUACCUAGACAAAGAGAUUGCCCAAAACUUACUGCAAAUGAAGAUGAUUAUGGAACUUGGAUACUUUGAAGUGUUGUUAUUGGUUUGCUCUAACAAAAGAUUUUGCAACUUUUUGAAGAUUCAUGCGGAGGAAACACAAUAUGUACUAACUUUUACUCAAAUCUUUUUUAUAUUUGUUAUGUACAAUGUAAUUUAAACAACAAUUUUGCAAUUUACUCUUCAAUUUUAAUACAUUAAUGAAAAUAAUUUGAAUUGUUUAUGAAUAUAGGUCUAUAGGAACUAUUUAUUACCUUUUAUAUUGUAAAUCAAUUAUUUAAAAAAGAAAAUAAUAUAUUCAGAGGCAGUUGUAGAAGUUUCUAAAAUUUUUGUGUAGUAGUUCCAUAAAUUGUUGUUAGUUGUUAGUAGUGGCAAAUUUUUCUGUCUUCAUAUCCAAAUUUAGGAACAAAUAUAAUUGUUUCUAAUUCCAAAAUUAAAGGCACAAGUAUGUGCCUCAAAAGGUUAUCAUUAAAGACAAAAUAGUUGUUAUAAGCUAUUUUUAAGGUCAAAUAAAUGUGCCUCUAUAUCUAAAGUUAGAGGAAUUUAUUUUUUGCCUCUAAUAGGUUGUUGUUACAUUUGGAUCAAUCACUUAAUCAGUU